GACGUUCCCCUGAGGUCAAUACUUAGAUGUAAUAUUAAUUAAUAACCCCAAGGAACAUACUAUGUGUGGUAUGAUAUUAGGCUGUGUGUACCGACAACUGUCGGUAUUUCCCCUCGAGCGCCACGAUUUGAACUAACCGGGAGAAAUAUACUACCGACUACGUCAGUGUAAAUGAAUCCUCACUCGUUGCAUAGGCCAGUAGUAGCAGCAGCAGGAGCAGCAGUGAUGUGAAGCACGUGUUCAACGAUGACGUGAUGACUAUGUGUACGACCACCUGGAGGAAGCCCUUCGUCCAGUCAAGCCCUUCGGUUUGAGGCCGUCUAUUUUU